UAAUUAAUUAACUUUAAUAGCAAUAAAUUUAAUAAUUAUUAUAUUAACUUAAAACCAACAGGUCGAAUGUAUGUAUUAUUGACAGCGCAAAAAAUUCAAAGAGCCGAUUAUUGACAUACCAUUGACCCUAUUAUUGACAGGUCUUUUAUUACAGUUAAAUUUAUAUUAACAAUAAUCAUUUUUACUAACUAAUGCAAAACUAUUAAUAAUUUUUACCAAUUUUUUCUAGUCUCAAAUACUUCGAUUCUUAUUAAAUCACAUGACAGUAUGUAAACAU